UACGUAGGGGGCAAGCGUUGUCCGGAAUCAUUGGGCGUAAAGCGCGUGUAGGCGGCUCGGUAAGUCUGCUGUGAAAGUCCAGGGCUCAACCCUGGGAUGCCGGUGGAUACUGUCGAGCUCGAGUCCGGAAGAGGCGAGUGGAAUUCCUGGUGUAGCGGUGAAAUGCGCAGAUAUCAGGAGGAACACCGAUGGCGAAGGCAGCUCGCUGGGACGGUACUGACGCUGAGGCGCGAAAGCGUGGGGAGCAAACAGG
rnacentral:rRNA from 1 species